UACGUAGGCAGCGAGCGUUGUUCGGAGUUACUGGGCGUAAAGGGUGUGUAGGCGGUUCUUUAAGUUUGGUGUGAAAUCUCCCGGCUCAACCGGGAGGGUGCGUCGAAUACUGAGGGACUAGAGUGCGGGAGAGGAAGGUGGAAUUCCUGGUGUAGCGGUGAAAUGCGUAGAUAUCAGGAGGAACACCGGUGGUGUAGACGGCUUUCUGGACCGUAACUGACGCUGAGACACGAAAGCGUGGGUAGCAAACAGG
rnacentral:rRNA from 1 species